rnacentral:rRNA from 1 species
GACGAACGCUGGCGGCGUGCCUAAUACAUGCAAGUAGAACGCUGAAGGAGGAGCUUGCUUCUCUGGAUGAGUUGCGAACGGGUGAGUAACGCGUAGGUAACCUGCCUGGUAGCGGGGGAUAACUAUUGGAAACGAUAGCUAAUACCGCAUAAGAGUAGAUGUUGCAUGACAUUUGCUUAAAAGGUGCAAUUGCAUCACUACCAGAUGGACCUGCGUUGUAUUAGCUAGUUGGUGGGGUAACGGCUUACCAAGGCGACGAUACAUAGCCGACCUGAGAGGGUGAUCGGCCACACUGGGACUGAGACACGGCCCAGACUCCUACGGGAGGCAGCAGUAGGGAAUCUUCGGCAAUGGACGGAAGUCUGACCGAGCAACGCCGCGUGAGUGAAGAAGGGUUUCGGAUCGUAAAGCUCUGUUGUAAGAGAAGAACGAGUGUGAGAGUGGAAAGUUCACACUGUGACGGUAGCUUACCAGAAAGAGACGGCUAACUACGUG